rnacentral:lncRNA from 1 species
AUCUACACCAUGGUCUCUUGCAAUAUUACAUGACUAUCAACUAUCUCAAGUAUCUUAAAAAACUCUAAAAUCUCUUCAUAUAUUUGCGUUAAAUAAAGCUCCACAACAAUAUUAACUCUAUUUCCAUCUAUAUGCAAAGUCAAUCCUUGUAAAAUCUUUACAUAAUCAUCUUCAAAUCCUUCUUCUUAAAUAACACCCAAAAUGUACUCACCACUUGAAAUCAUACUCAAUCCUUUAAAAUUUUAAUUAUGUUUCUUCAUCUAAUCUUUAUACAUAUGAUCUAAAUUUUCAACCUUUUGAAAUCUCAAAACCCUCAAAGUUGUCAAAACCAAAAAUCCACACUCAAAGCUAU